UUAAAAAAAAUUAUUUUUAUUUUUAGAAAAAUGAUAUUUAGAAAAAAAAAUUAAUUAUUUAGUAUUUUUAAAGAAAAAUUUUUUUUUAUUAUAGUAAAUUAGUAUUGAAAGAGAAAUUUAAAUUAAAGGUAAAAAAAGAAUAAUAUUGUACCUUGUGUCUCAGGGUUUAUUAAUUAUUAAGAAGAUUAUAUUUUCUCGAAUUUAAAAGAGCUAAGGUAAUAAAAUUUUAUUGUAGAAUAAAUAUUUUUAAUGUUAUUUUAGUAAUGAAACGUUAUUCGUUUUUAAUAUAUCUGGUUAUUUAAGAAAAAAAUUAAAUUUUUUUAUUAAGAAUAUUAAAUUAAUUUUUUAGUUUUUUAUUAUUAAUAUGAAAUUCUUAAGGGGAUGAGCUUUUAGGAAAAUUGUUAAAUGAAGAUAGUUAAUAUAAAAAUUAUAGGAUUAGAAGUUUCUAUUAAUAAAAUUAUGUUAUAAUUAAUUUUUAAAAUAUAUUAUUUUUAUUUUCAUUAAAUUAUUUAUUAAAUUAUAAAUUAAAAUUUAAAAAAUUUAGUAAUAAUGAUAAAAUUAGUAAUAUAAAAUGUUAUUUAGUUAUUAUAGAAUAAGGUUAAUUUAAGGAAUUCGGCAAAAUUUUUUCUACCUGUUUAUUAAAAACAUGGCCUAUUGAGAAUGAUUUUAGGUCUGGCCUGCCCACUGAUUUUUUUGAAUGGCCGCGGUAAUUUGACCGUGCUAAGGUAGCAUAAUCAUUAGUUUUUUAAUUGAAAGCUGGUAUGAAUGGUUAAAUAAGAAAAUAACUGUCUCUAAUUAAUUUUUAUUGAAUUUUAUUUUUAAGUAAAAAAGCUUAAUUAAUUUUGAAAGACGAGAAGACCCUAUAGAGUUUAAUAAAAAUGUGAGUUUUAAAUUUUUAGGAUUUUUAAUUUAAAAUAAAAUUUUUAUUUGAUUGGGGUGAUUGAAAAAUUAAAUUAACUUUUUCUUUAUUUUUACAUAAAUUUAUGAAUUUUUGAUCCAUAGAAAUGAUUAUAAGAUUAAAUUACCUUAGGGAUAACAGCGUAAUUUUUUUUGAGAGUUCUUAUCGAAAAAAAAGUUUGCGACCUCGAUGUUGGAUUAAAAUUAAUUUUUGGUGUAGAGGCUAGAAAAUUGGGUCUGUUCGACCUUUAAAAUUUUACAUGAUCUGAGUUUAAACCGGUGUGAGCCAGGUUGGUUUCUAUCUUUAAAUAAAAAAUAUAUUUUAGUACGAAAGGACCAAAUAUGUAUAUAAAAUAUUAGUUUUAGAAUAAUAUU
rnacentral:rRNA from 1 species